GAAACCCUUCGACCACUAAACCCUCAAAACCCUAUCCGCCGUCAAAACCCAUGUUCGAAACCCUAAAGAGCUCCAACCGAAACCCAAUCGCGACCCCAAAUCGACAACGACGCAUCAUCUUUAUAUUAACCCUUUUUUUUUAUGUUUUCAGAUUCAAGGAUUUUCUGUCUUCUUUCGUUUUGGUUGUCGGCUAUUGGAAAUCAAUGCGCAGGUUGUGAGCGUUAUUCAAAGUUUUGGAAACAGUUGUCUUGAUAUGGCUGAGUCCCGUUUCGAUUACGCCAACAAGAACGAUACAUAACGAACUACUCGCUGACGGUAACAAUGUGAACUCUGAGUUUUAUGUUAAUAUAUUUUGUUACGAUUUCGGUUUAGCUGUCAAACUGUUGUUAUUAUUUUGAUAAGUAGAAAUCCGCUUAUACAUGUAAAUGAUGGUGGUUAAUAGGCCUUUCUGUUUUGCUGAAGGAUUCUUGUAUGGUUGUGUAAAUAGUCUUGUAAAUAUGUUAAUGCUUUGCCGUGGUUCUGUUUGAUUUUGAUAAUUACUACGUUUUGGUACUACAAAAUUCUGUAAAUAUGAUAAAGGUAAUGUUGUUGUCGAUUUCGUUCGUUGCUUCCCUAUGUCAUGAUUUCGGACCUAAUUUGGCUUCAAUUACAUCUGUGAAUUUUCAAUUUUCAGCUUUAUGAUUAUUCAAAAUAAUGAUGAUUGUAAAGUUAUGAACAUAAGUUUGCUCUGCUGAUUACAUAUUUCCUGAUUUCGGUUAUGGAAUUUUAGAUGUGUUUAUGUUUUGGUGCCGGGAAAACGGUUUUGUUGUUGUAUGAAUUCUGGACGCAUCAUGAGCCAAGGGUGGGGACUGGGUGUGUUGUAUUUCGAGUAACCUGUUUGUUGUUGCCUUUUCAUUUUGCUUUUCAUAGAAAUAUUUGGAAAUGCUUGGAAUUUGUUUGGAAUAGUUGAAAUGUAUGUAACGUUUCUUGCUGUAAUUUUUACAGUAAGUUGAUUUUAGUGGCAAUGUAGUGUAACCAUGCAUAAAUACAUUAAACUGUAAUUUUCUCUUUGAACUUAAUUAAUCAAUUA
rnacentral:lncRNA from 1 species